GACCUUGUGGUGCAACGGUAGCGCAUCUGACUCCCCAGCAGAGGGCUCUGUGUUCAAGUCACGUCAAGGUCA
rnacentral:tRNA from 2 species